rnacentral:rRNA from 1 species
GACGAACGCUGGCGGCGUGCUUAACACAUGCAAGUCGAACGGAAAGGCCCUGCUUUUGUGGGGUGCUCGAGUGGCGAACGGGCGAGUAACACGUGAGUAACCUGCCCUUGACUUUGGGAUAACUUCAGGAAACUGGGGCUAAUACCGGAUAGGAGCUCCUGCUGCAUGGUGGGGGUUGGAAAGUUUCGGCGGUUGGGGAUGGACUCGCGGCUUAUCAGCUUGUUGGUGGGGUAGUGGCUUACCAAGGCUUUGACGGGUAGCCGGCCUGAGAGGGUGACCGGCCACAUUGGGACUGAGAUACGGCCCAGACUCCUACGGGAGGCAGCAGUGGGGAAUAUUGCACCAUGGGCGGAAGCCUGAUGCAGCAACGCCGCGUGCGGGAUGACGGCCUUCGGGUUGUAAACCGCUUUCGCCUGUGACGAAGCGUGAGUGACGGUAAUGGGUAAAGAAGCACCGGCUAACUACGU